AGUGAACGCUGGCGGUAGGCCUAACACAUGCAAGUCGAACGGCAGCACAGUAAGAGCUUGCUCUUACGGGUGGCGAGUGGCGGACGGGUGAGGAAUACAUCGGAAUCUACUUUUUCGUGGGGGAUAACGUAGGGAAACUUACGCUAAUACCGCAUACGACCUACGGGUGAAAGCAGGGGAUCUUCGGACCUUGCGCGAUUGAAUGAGCCGAUGUCGGAUUAGCUAGUUGGCGGGGUAAAGGCCCACCAAGGCGACGAUCCGUAGCUGGUCUGAGAGGAUGGUCAGCCACACUGGAACUGAGACACGGUCCAGACUCCUACGGGAGGCAGCAGUGGGGAAUAUUGGACAAUGGGCGCAAGCCUGAUCCAGCCAUACCGCGUGGGUGAAGAAGGCCUUCGGGUUGUAAAGCCAUUUUGUUGGGAAAGAAAAGCAGCAGGUUAAUACCCCGCUGUUCUGACGGUACCCAAAGAAUAAGCACCGGCUAACUUCGUG
rnacentral:rRNA from 1 species